GAGGAGACCAGCAGAGCCUGUCGGUCACAGGCAGAGGAACGAGGGCGGCGGGGACCACAGCUGAUGAGGCUCCGCAGAGAGUGAUNNNNNNNNNNNNNNNNNNNNNNNNNNNNNNNNNNNNNNNNNGAGUUGGAAAGCUAAGUGGACUGUCUCGCUAACUGGGUGGCAGAGAGGUAUGGGUGUCCCCGGGGCUUUUACGCUUCGAAAUGCUAGGGGACAAAGAUCGCAGCAGUGCCUGGCACCGGCAGCCCCUGGGGAGGUGCGAGCAUGGUAGCCCACUAACCAUUCGGGGACCUGAGCGCUCACCUGGCCAUCCAUCGCAGCUCAGCGGCAGAGAAUGCUGUCACCCUGCUUGUUCACGGCGCCGGCCUGGAACAGCAACCCAACACCAAGGGGAAAAACGGUUAGAGUGCGCAUAUCACAGUGUCGCCACCACCCAGGAGACGUCCUGGAAAACUAGGCAGGCGAGCAGAGUCCCCACCCGAGCCCGAAGCUGGGGAAGCCUCCUGUGAUGCAAGGGACACUCCGGAGACGCAGGGCUCCAAGUCCCAACCGCCCUCGGCUCAGGGACCAGUGGAUCACCAAGCCCAGCAGGCGGCUCUCGGUGGAGACGGGAGAAGCGGCUGUCAUUCCCUGAGAGGAGCAAGACCACCCGUAUCUCGCCGCCCCGCCACCUUUCCCGCGAUGCCCAGGGUGCCCCGCCAAGGCUUCUCACCGGGUCAGUGUUGAGCGCGAUAAUGCAAAAGUGUACGGGAACCCCGCGGAGUACGGCGAGUGAUUUCCUGUUCUGCCUUUACCUGACGAUGCUUUUCUAAGGAUUUACGCCUUGAGUAGGAGCCGCCAGUUCACUAAGUAGCCACCUCGUGGCUCCGCUUAUUCCAACUGUGCGAGCAACAGCUGCGGAGGAGAGAGACGCGUAUCAACGCACAGCUUAUGGAGCUCAAUAUGUUACUUCUGUUUAUUCAAAAGACCACCUGUGUUUCUGGGGGAAAUUGGAGAUGUUCCAAAACAGAAUGAAGAUGCAGCAGACAGCCAUGGAACCUUCAGAGCCGCAAGCAGGGGCAUCACUGCUUUAGGUUAAACACACCGUGACAGCCCCGUGGGAAACGGCUCCCAGAAUCCACCGCACCAGCUUUUUGGGUUACUAAGGGAAACUGAGUCACUUCAGAGCUUCUUGGGACUUCUUGUCCAUGAACAACUUUACAGACAUCACUGUGGUAGCUUCUGAGAAUGCUGGAAAGCAAGGUGGAAUAAUCCAUGAGCAGACUGACUGAGUGAAUGGACCAGUUAGGCCCAGGAUGGCCUUGAAUUUGAGAGUUACGAGGUCAUAAUGAUGUCAGGUUGCUCUGCUCGAACAAUAUCGGGGAUUUAGGAGGGAGUGUGGGAAGUUUUCUAAUUCCUUAUGCUCCCAUGAAUGCUCAAUUGCAGUGGGGGGGGCACCCCUUCAAAGCCUUGUCAUCUACCCUAGGCCAGGCUUCUAUGUGAAUUUCCCCAACAUGUUUCAUUACAUAUCCUCUGAGUGUGUGCUGGGGUCCCACAAGCAAGUGCAGAUUAGUCACACUAGCCAAACAACCAUCCCUUUGAGAUCAGGUUGAUCUUGACUUAACAUUUGAUUUUUUUGGGGGGGUGCACAGAGUCUCACUAUCCAGCCCAGGAUGGCCUUGAACACAUAAUCCUCUGUGCGUCAGCUGCUACAGUAUUGGGAUUCUAGGCACAGAGCAUCAUCACAUACUGGCAUAGGAGUUGCCUUUUCUAGAUACCUUAAUCUCACACUCUCCUUCCUCAUUUCCCAAGCCUUGGUUUAAAAUCAGAGACUUAUGAGAAGCCAAAGUUUUCAGUAUGAUGCAUGCGCUGUGUUCUAUAAUUUCCCCAUACCUCUACAUGCUUCUGUGAUUCUCAAACAGUUCAUCAACAGUUUUUCUAAAUAUAAAUCUGAAUAAAGAAGCAGGGUAGGAAACAUUAGAUAGAAUUUUUUUUUGUCCAGAAAUCUAGACUAUUCCUUUGACCAAAGCCAGUGAAAGACGACGGCGAUAGAGCCUAGGCUCAGUGAUAUUUUAUGGUGGAGAGUAGAGAAAAAAAAAAAGAUACAGGGGAUUAACAUGUAAUAUAGAGAAACUGCCGGGGGAAGUGUGGUUACAGGAGACAGGGUACUAUGCACACCCAGUUUGUCUGUCCUCUCUCUCACUCUGCCUGUACGUCUAAUGUGAGGUUUUGACAUCAUCUGCCACACAAUGUGUAUUUGUGUGGAUGGCGUCCUUGGCCCGUACAGCUGAGCACGCUACUCAUGGCUAGUUAAUUGGUGGUAGAGAAGAAAUGUUCGGACCUGCCUGUUUGAAAUUUCCCAACUGCUCCUCACCCAGCUGGUCUACCUGAAAGUGGGUUUAGGAGCCAAGAUCUGGUGCGAGAAGGUCACAGUGGUUAUGACAACUUGCCAGUGAAAUGCUCUGAGUCUAUGCCUCUGGAAACAAAAUCCCCUCUGUUAUUCCCCCACCUCCAUCCUUGCUGGUGUAACUGUGGACUGUUAAAAAAAGCAAAACAAACAGACAAAAACAGCCAACCAACCCCCUGCCUCAGAGUCUGUUUUUUGUUUUGUUUUAUUUCUCUCUGGUCUGUAUUCUUCCUUAGGAAAACAAAAAUCAAAAGCAUGUUUUUCUCUACUUUAAGCCAAAAUUAUUUGAACAUUUAUCAAAGGUAGUAGAGGAAUCAACAUCCUCAUGGGUGUGUAGCAGAGUGUGAGACAUGUCAGGUUUGGGUCCCUAAAUCAGGCCAACUGGAUCAGAAACUGUGUGGUGGGAGUCAGAGGUCUACGUGUAAAUAAAUUCUGCUGGGUUUCAUGAACU
ensembl:lincRNA A330033J07Rik RIKEN cDNA A330033J07 gene